AUGAUUGUUGCGUUUGUGAAACCUGAUGUUGUGGAGGAGCUAUGCAGAAUUGGUUCGUUUGAGAACAAGAAGAGAAUUAGUGUCAAAGGCGAAGUAACAAAGGUGUCGAGCGUAAUUGAGGGGACAAAGUCUAAGAGGAAAGUUGUGACUUUGACCGAUGGUCAAGCUUCAAUCGAUGUAAAGUUGUGGGUGAACUUGCGGAGACUGGUAUCCAUGAGGGAUCCACCAUUGUGGUUACAUGUGUCCAUGUCGAUUUGUACCAAAAUAAACGGUCCCUCAACUCAACUGGAGGAACAGUGA
rnacentral:sRNA from 1 species